CUGGACAUUGAUCAACCUACUGACCCGCUGCAACAAGACAUCCCUCCAGGGAGGGAGGUUCUUCAUGAAGAGCAAUGUAAGAGAAUCAGUCCGGUUGCUGCUGCUACUGAAGGGGGCUUGUUCAAGAGAUCAACCGAACUUUAGCACAGAAGGAACAGCCGGCAGAUGACUUGGAGCUCCACUUGGACACUGAAGGUGUCAACCAGAUUUACAGUUCAGUUGCAACAGGUAGCUGAGCCAAAGACUGACGAGGCAGUCAUUCCUCCUGCUCUACCUAUCCACUCCCAUUCGAUAGAUGCCCCACCUAUUCAAAUCCACUCCGGUGGUUGACGCCGGCAUCAGGCUCCCUCCAUCUUUGCUUUAUUCAAAUCCAAAGCGCAAGUACAUCUCUCCUC
rnacentral:lncRNA from 1 species